CGCACUCGCAGCUGGGGCUGCCUCCGGAGGCUGCGGGAUGUUGAGCGUGGCACGGAGGAGCCGGGCCUACCGGGCUGCUGGGACCGAGGUCCAGAAGGCCACGUCGGCCACAUGCGCAGUGAGAGGGGCCGGAACCCACGAGGGCAGCGCCCUUCUCCCACCUCGGCCUGCGCAGCCCUGCACUCAGGUGUGACGGCUGUGCCAGAUGGAGGCUGCAGGAUGACUGAAGUUGCUUUCUGGUUAGUGAGGACUCCGGGGUCAUGACAGUGAUGGAACACAGCAACCUCAGAACAAGGUUGCCUCAAGUUUCCUGGCAAUGUCUGAUACUGAAGAAUCUGAAGCUACCGGCUUGUUGCUGUUGCUGUGCUUUAGAAUAAGAUGUUACCAGGAAGCUGUGUUCAUCUGCAAGUAUGGGUCUACAGAGCUGAGAGAGAAGUGGUACGAGAAGAGGCAAGCUGA